UUGCCGAUUUCCUUUUUCAUCAGAGUCUCGAUAAGAGAAUUUGCUCCGAUACCGGCCCGGCAGCGGUGAGUACCUGUCGCCGAACGACCAGACAGAGAUUCUACCGAGCGGAUGUUCGGCUUAUCUGACCACCCAUAGCCCCCUACCCCCUUACCGGAGACUGACUGGAGACGCUACGUGAAACGAGUUGCGGCAGUCGGGUGUGUGAAGUCGGAGGUGACGGUUCAGUACAUUUCAGUGGCUCGUGAAUUUGAGGAGUUGAUUUUUCAGUCAAGUUUGGUGAUUCCUCGCCCCGCUAUCCAUUAUUUUGAACCGCAACUUAUUCAGUCCAAUUCAAUUUUUUGCUGAGUCGCUUUGGAGUUAAAUUGAUUUUCCGGCUUCACAACCUGUCUGUUAUGAACUUACGAGUCGCUGAAGUAAUUAUGUUGUGGUAUCUCUAACAUUUGUCAAGGCUGUGCAAGAAGACAGAAUUUUCACUUUGCAUCUGAGUUGUUCCUGAAUUUACGGAUCAUUGCUUCAUCACGGUAAAAUCUCUCCAACUCCUUCCUGUUCUCAGAAUUAAUUGCGAACGAAUCGACCAUUUGUCUAUACUCUCAAUUUUUCAAAGUGAGCUGGUACAGUAUUCUUCCUCACCACUGAUACUAGCAGUUGCGAGUUGCCAUUUAGGUAGAUUUUAGUAAAAUCAGUCCAACUUCAUUCCACGUUGCCUAUAAUUGAAUCUCUCAGUUUGAAAACUUCCAAACUCGGCACGGUGCUCCUGAAGGGGGUUUAAAUCGAAGUUGGUCAUGAACGAAAAAUUUGAGCUAGAUGAAUAAAUUAUUUAAACAUUUGUUGUAAAAACUCAUAAGUAACGACAAUUCUGCAAAAUUUCCCGCCCAAACGCCAUCAUUUUAUGGUCGAAUCCCUAAUUUUGAAGUUUGAAACUUUGCAACGUCGUAACGGGAGCAAAAAAAUAUUCUCGGUCAUGAAAAUUUUAGGAAGUCGCACUUCAGACGAGAAAACAACAUAUCAAAAAUUAGAUCAAUUCACCGAGAAAUGGGCCCAUGUCAUCGUGCUACCUUCAAACCCAACAUUUUCAAGUUUAAAACUUUUGCAUCGUUGCAACGAGAGGAAAAAAAUCUCUCCGGUCACCAGAAUUGGCCACUGGAUUUUCUGGGGAUCAUAUUGACUAUAUUAUAAAUUAUCUAAUAAGGAAUUACUAUUUGUGGCUCAUUUAUGAAUGCACUUAUCUUUGUAGAGAAAAUCAAAGUUUGGGCGAGGAGGAAGAGCAAAGAAAGAAAGAAGAAGAGAAAAAAAGAAUUGAAA